rnacentral:rRNA from 1 species
GACGUAGGGCGCGAGCGUUGUCCGGAUUUAUUGGGCGUAAAGAGCUCGUAGGCGGCUUGUCGCGUCGUUCGUGAAAACCCGGGGCUCAACUCCGGGCUUGCGGGCGAUACGGGCAGGCUAGAGUUCGGUAGGGGAGACUGGAAUUCCUGGUGUAGCGGUGGAAUGCGCAGAUAUCAGGAGGAACACCAAUAGCGAAGGCAGCACGCUGGGACGUUACUGACACUAAGGCGCGAAAGCGUGGGGAGCGAACAGG